CCUACGGGAGGCAGCAGUGGGGAAUAUUGCACAAUGGGGGAAACCCUGAUGCAGCGACGCCGCGUGAGUGAAGAAGGAAUUCGUUAUGUAAAGCUCUAUCAGCAGGGAAGAAAAUGUCGGUACCUGAGUUCGAAGCCCCGGCCAAUUACGUGCCAGCAGCCGCGGUAAUACGUAGGGGGCAAGCGUUAUCCGGAUUUACUGGGUGUAAAGGGAGCUUAGACGGCAGUGCAAGUCUGGAGUGAAAGGCGGGGGCUCAAGCCCCGGACUGCUCUGGAAACUGUACGGCUAGAGUGCAGGAGAGGUAAGUGGAAUUUCUGGUGUAGCGGUGAAAUGCGUAGAUAUUAGGAGGAACACCAGUGGCGAAGGCAGCUUACUGGACUGUAACUGACGUUGAGGCUCGAAAGCGUGGGGAGCAAACAGGAUUAGAUACCCGAGUAGUC
rnacentral:rRNA from 1 species